rnacentral:piRNA from 1 species
UAACCUAAAGUUCAGUGUUCCCCGGAUGAGU